rnacentral:lncRNA from 1 species
GUUAAUUUGAAAUUAGUCAUGUGCUGAAUGUCCCACUUAUGCUUAUUUAGCUGAGGUAAUCACAAGAAAAAAAGUAACUCUUUUAAAAAAUAAAGUUUGUAUUUUUUAGAAAACCCCCAGAGUAUUAUCUUGUAUGAACUCUGAACAUUUUGUAUUUUAACAUAAAAGUAAUUAAUAAUUACACACUGUACAUAUGGAAAUACAGGUUUGAUCCUCAUAAUAAGUUAAUACAAUUUAGCUUUCUUUAAUGUGUAUGCUACAGGGUGGAUUCUAAAUUCCAGUGUAUUUUUUACAUUUAAAACAAAUGAGACUAUUUAUGAGGGUAAGGAUAUAUAUGUGUAAUACAGAAAGUAUGCAUAUUUUAUUUACUGAACACUAGUGCCUUCACACAACCUAUUUUUUGUUGACAUUUGUUUAUUUUCUCUGGGAGAAUGACAGAUCUGCAGCACAACAUAAUACCAAUCCAAAGGCCAGAGUUUCAGAGCAGACUGGAUUUCAGUGUGAUAUGGAUUUAUUGACUUUGCAGUGGAUUGCGUCAACAUUGCGAAAAGGAGAAGGCGGAGCAGUGGCACUUACUCCUCCGAGAGAGAGGGAGAAAAACCCUGCACACACGCGACCUUAAG